GAUGAACGCUGGCGGCGUGCCUAAUACAUGCAGGUCGAGCGAAUGGAUUAAGAGCUUGCUCUUAUGAAGUUAGCGGCGGACGGGUGAGUAACACGUGGGUAACCUGCCCAUAAGACUGGGAUAACUCCGGGAAACCGGGGCUAAUACCGGAUAACAUUUUGAACCGCAUGGUUCGAAAUUGAAAGGCGGCUUCGGCUGUCCCUUAUGGAUGGACCCGCGUCGCAUUAGCUAGUUGGUGAGGUAACGGCUCACCAAGGCAACGAUGCGUAGCCGACCUGAGAGGGUGAUCGGCCACACUGGGACUGAGACACGGCCCAGACUCCUACGGGAGGCAGCAGUAGGGAAUCUUCCGCAAUGGACGAAAGUCUGACGGAGCAACGCCGCGUGAGUGAUGAAGGCUUUCGGGUCGUAAAACUCUGUUGUUAGGGAAGAACAAGUGCUAGUUGAAUAAGCUGGCACCUUGACGGUACCUAACCAGAAAGCCACGGCUAACUACGUGCCAGCAGCCGCAGUAA
rnacentral:rRNA from 1 species